GAUGAACGCUAGCGGCAGGCUUAACACAUGCAAGUCGAGGGGCAGCAUAAUGGAUAGCAAUAUCUAUGGUGGCGACCGGCGCACGGGUGCGUAACGCGUAUGCAACCUACCUUUAACAGGGGGAUAACACUGAGAAAUUGGUACUAAUACCCCAUAAUAUCAUAGAAGGCAUCUUUUAUGGUUGAAAAUUCCGAUGGUUAGAGAUGGGCAUGCGUUGUAUUAGCUAGUUGGUGGGGUAACGGCUCACCAAGGCGACGAUACAUAGGGGGACUGAGAGGUUAACCCCCCACACUGGUACUGAGACACGGACCAGACUCCUACGGGAGGCAGCAGUGAGGAAUAGUGGUCAAUGGACGCAAGUCUGAACCAGCCAUGCCGCGUGCAGGAUGACGGCUCUAUGAGUUGUAAACUGCUUUUGUACGAGGGUAAACGCAGAUACGUGUAUCUGUCUGAAAGUAUCGUACGAAUAAGGAUCGGCUAACUCCGUG
rnacentral:rRNA from 1 species